GAAAUCGUGUUGAAAGGGAAAAGUAAGAAGAAUAUAUGACUUUGUAGAGAGAAUCACCAAUGGCUGAAAGUGAUUUAAGCAUAUACUUCCGAACAUGCACCCUUGAGCCUUUUCUUGAAGGAUAAGUAGGGAAAAGCGGUUUGCGGCGUUACACGCAAAAAAGAUGAGCUUCAGUAAGGAAAUAGGAAGCUUAAAACAGAGUGGAACCACGUUUUAGAACGUCUCUGUG
rnacentral:ncRNA from 1 species